UGGGGAAUAUUGGACAAUGGGCGAAAGCCUGAUCCAGCAAUGCCGCGUGUGUGAAGAAGGUCUUCGGAUUGUAAAGCACUUUCGACGGGGACGAUGAUGACGGUACCCGUAGAAGAAGCCCCGGCUAACUUCGUGCCAAG
rnacentral:rRNA from 1 species